rnacentral:lncRNA from 1 species
CGCUUUCUCUCUAUCUUUAUUUCUCAUUUUUCCUUCCUUAUUUUGUGUUCUUUCUCCUCUCCCUUCACUUUUUUCUCUCUAUAGUCUUCCUUCAUAUUCCCUUCCUUCUUUUUUUCCUAUUCUUCCUCUUUCCUACCCAGCUCUCUUUCUCUUUCUCUCUUGCAUUUCUUUUUUCUUUUCAUUUCUAGCUCCCUCCUUUCAUUCAUUUGCUUUCUCUAUUUUCCCUAUUUCGCUUUUCUCUAUUUUUCUUUCUUUCUUUCUCUUUUCUUCCUUUCUGCUUUUUUCUCUCAGAAAACAAACUAAUCCUGCUUCUUGGUUCUGUCCUUUAUCAGUAUUCCUCCACAUUCAUCUCUCUCCUCCUGCCCUGCUGGAGCUGCUGCCUCUGCCCCAAGCAUUGGGGCUUUCUCAAAUCUUUUCUUCAUCAGUCUUUUCUCUUUGUGGUUCUCAACUUUUCCAGUCCUUUGUGCUGUUUCCUCGACCUUCUUUCUAGCUUCCUUUGUUUCUAAAGCCUCUCUCUGCAAAAGGCAUGUGGCAUAAGACUGCCCCCUCCCCAAGUGGGGACUUCUUUCCUGUGGCAGCACAGCUGUCCUCUCUCAACUGCCCUCAACUUGGGGGUCAAUUUCAAGGACCCAGAAAUGGGGCUGUUCCCCCAGCUUGAGAAGUCGGGGCUGGGUCCACAGCUCCCCCUACACGCUUAGGGGAGCCUUGCCAAGCUGCUGACUGUUAACUCCAUCAAUCCUAAUAAAAAAGAGAGAGGAGGAAGAGAAAAAAGGAAAGAGUAAAAGAGAGACAGCCCCACAGAUGUGGGGGGAGGAGUUUUGGGGAGCCAGGGGCAGAAAGGGCUGGAUUCACCCAACAGGGAGGGGACAGAGCCCAGAACCAAGCACCUUCGCUCAGCGCACACAGAGCCUCGGCAAAGAAGCCCCAGUUGGCUCCCAGGUUAACUCCGGGAUUGGGGUGGGGUGAGACCUUCUAUCCAACUGCUCUGGGCUGGAGAGGUGGGCAAGGCCAAGGGAUGCUAGUAGAGAAAAGGGCUUAAACUUGAGUAUCAGUCGCCUUCACGUCCGCCUCUAGGCAGUGCGAGCCGCGGGCCUCCUAAACCUCUGAGCUCGGCGGCCCAAUUCCGGCCUCCCGGAGGAGCAGGUGCGGGGGCAGUCGCUGGGUUACCGGCGGAGAACCCUCGGGCGCAGCGAAAACAAAGCCCUGGGCGGUUUUGCCGCUCCUGACCCAGCAGGGCCGAGAGGCCUCUGGAGGUGCGGGCCGGGUAGGGACCAGACACCACGCGCUCGGCGCGGGAAUAUUCUCUCCUGGGAUCCACAGCCACACCGGGCCCUUUCCACAAGGCGGUCCAAACGCGCCGGCCGCGCCCGCCCGGCUCCGCGGGUCCGGACCGCAAACCUCAGGCGCAGCGGAGACCCUCGGCCCAGGCUCGACCUCCCCUUCCGGGGACCCCACGGGGCUCAAGAGUUCCCCCGGGCCCGCCAGUGCACCUGCAACGGCCUCCGCCCUCAUCCUCUUCCCCAGGGCCCCCAGCACCCGCCCUGGCCUGCCCACUCUCUCCAGGGGCCUCCAAGUUCAGCCGCGCCCUGCCCUUGACUCCCCUUCAAGGAGGCUCCUCUAGCUGUUCCUCCCGGGACUCCUCUUGGGAGGGGACAAUCUCAGCCCUGGGACGGGCUAGGGGGCUCUUUUCCUUGUCCUCCUGUAGGAGCUGGAGAAAGUAGGAAGGUCGUGCUGGGGCGGGGGAGGGCACUCCCUGAUUCCAUCGUAGAGUAAUGGGUCUCUGAGUCAAAUUUGAUUUAAAAGAAGAAAUUUGGGAGUUUUCCCUCUCUCCUGUCACUCCUAACUUAAAGUCAGCCAAAAUCAGGCUUUCCCGGGCUGAGAGUCUGAGGCAGUACCCCGCCCCCCGCCCCUGGAGGAGUCGGAAACUGCCAUUUUCGGCUAGCACUUCUCUCCCUUUCCGCAGCAACCCCUUUCGGGAUCUCCAAGCGUCUCUAAGCGCUCGCUGGAGCGAGCAGGUUGGGGACAGGCGGGGUUUUCUCCUGGGUAAUCAGCCCCGGUGGGAAAUCAGCCUUCCUUCAGUGUAGCGAGCUGAGCGCCCCUCCCGCCGCUGAAACCUCAAAACCCAACUCUGAGUGCUCCCUUCUCCAUCCUCCUUCCAACAACUUUUCUGAAGUUCCCGCAAGUUGCGUUUGGGGAAAGAAGUAAUCACCCUUAGCCUCUCAGGGUCUCUAGGCCCCCCAUUUCUCCUGUCCUCACAGUUUCAGAAGUAACGCUUCUCCUGACCCUGCCAGCUGCCACCGUAGUCCCCACACUCAGGGCAGGACAGCUGCUCUGGCCCCACGCCUCCGACAGACGGCCACCCCCAGUCAGAUUCCCCCGAGGGUGGGCAGACCCGCGUCUGCCUGCGGGGGGAACUGGAUGGAGUGAGAAGGAGAGCGAGAGACACAGAGACGGGCAGAGACAUUAUUUCCAGGCUCAAGCGCGCCCCUCCCGGGCCCCGCUCACCUGCUCUGGACGGGCUCCUCUUGAUUUUGAUCCACUUAAAAGUUUGUCCUUCUCUCAAGCGGUCCUAGGAGAGGCGCAAACUCCGCAGUCGGGGUGUGGGGGGCGCCCCCUGAGGGCGCAGGCGCCUGAUCCAGAGCGAGCGCCCGGGAAGCAGGACUCGGGAGCACCCUCCCCAAAGUGCCGGCCGAAGCAGUGAUCCGGAGAGAGGACUUCCAAGUGCCCGGGUCAAAGGGCCAGGCUGCUAGCCCAGGGACGCCCGGGGCAGAGUGGGCGCUAUAGAGGGAGUGGCCAGCGGGGCCGCUGGGCCUGGGGAACUGGAAGGAGAGGGCCCUGGGUCCCCGGCGACGUCUGGCGCUUGCUCCAGUUUGUGACCUCCCCAGUGUGUCCCAGCCCACAACAUUCCCUCGACCCCUUCUGGGGAGGCACUCAGGGCUCGGACAGUCAGAGAGGGAGGGGAUGGGGCGAAGAGACCCCCCUUCUCUUUAGCCCCUCCCCAGCCCCCGCGCCACCGCUCCCCCUGUUCGCUGCCCAGAGCCAAGGGACAGACGGAGAAUUGCAACUAGAAAUUCGAUCGAUUGGUACGAGGGACCACGUGGUCUGGGGUUGGCCAAUGACCAGGCCGCCCGGGAUGAGCUAAUAAUGGAAGCAAUUUGUAACUUUCAGUAGCUCUCUAGGCCUGGGUACAAGAGGGAAGGAGGCGGGCGGAGGUGGGGACAUGGGUACCCCCAGUCCUUCCACCCUCCUCAUUCGUCUAGGGGCACCCAGAACCCCAAUCCUCUUUUCCCCAACACGCAGCCACUCGCAGGGUCUCUGGCCCACUUCUGUCCGGCGGCUGCCGCUCCGAGCAAGGUGGAGCUGGCAGAGAUGGGGGACCCCAUUUUGGUUUCUGGCUUUGGUUUUGCACGGACACAAAGGAAGAGAGAAAGCUGGCUGGGGACUCAUCGCUUCUGGUCAGGGAGCUUUGGUUUAGGAGAGUUCGGGGUAAAUCCUGGCUCUGAGGACAUUCUUUUUAGCUUUAUUGUGUGCCCCCACAUACCUGACCUCCUUCCAGAGGUGGGAGAAACAGAGAUCCAAAGAGAUGAAGUGACAUGCCAGAAUCAUAAAGCUAGAAAGUGACGAAGCUGGGAUUUGAACUCUGAUCUGCCUGAUAACAAACCUUAACCCCUUGCCCUACCCACUUUCUGAAAGGGGAGGUGGAACUUUCUGAGGGGAGAGAGGCAGGACACACAUGUAAAGUUGGGACAAGGAUGAGACCAGGACCAUGGGGCAGCU